rnacentral:rRNA from 1 species
UAGAUACCCCACUAUANUGAGCAUAAAUCUCACUCUGUAGCAGUAAAGUUAAUGUAAACUAAAACUUAAAGAGCAUGGCGGCGGCUCAAAAUUUCGGGGGAACUUACCCAAUAAUUGAUAAUCCUCAAGAGAUGCUACGUGCCCUUUCGUUUGUAUACCGCCGUCUGCAGGUGUCAUUUAAAAUAGCACCUAACGGAAGAGAAGACAGGCCAUGGCACAGCUUAUGGGCACGCUAGGGCGAGUUACAAUUAAACUUUUUUAUCGGAUGCAGGGGUUAAAAAUUCUGCUAAAGCAGGACUUGAAAGUAAUACUUAAAAAAGUAAAACUUGAAUUUUUUUUGUGCCGUGCACACNCCGCCC